rnacentral:rRNA from 1 species
AGAAUCAACGCUGGCGGCGUGCCUAACACAUGCAAGUCGCACGAGAAAGGGACUUCGGUCCUGAGUAAAGUGGCGCACGGGUGAGUAACACGUGAAUCAUCUACCUCCGAAUGGGGAAUAACUGAGAGAAAUCUUAGCUAAUACCGCAUAAUACCUACGGGUCAAAGCAGCAAUGCGUUUGGAGAGGAGUUCGCGGUCGAUUAGUUAGUUGGCGGGGUAAUGGCCCACCAAGACGAUGAUCGAUAUCCGGCCUGAGAGGGCGCACGGACACACUGGAACUGAAACACGGUCCAGACUCCUACGGGAGGCAGCAGUGGGGAAUUUUGCGCAAUGGGGGAAACCCUGACGCAGCAACGCCGCGUGGAGGAUGAAAUAUCUUGGUACGUAAACUCCUUUCGAUGGGGAAGAUAAUGACGGUACCCAUAGAAGAAGCCCGGCUAACUUCGUGCCAGCAGCCGC